rnacentral:rRNA from 1 species
GUGAGAAGUGCGGCAUGCUAGACUAAAGUCCGGACGUUCAGUGAUGCGAGUGCCCAGUGGGCCACUUUUGGUAAGCAGAACUGGCGCUGUGGGAUGAACCAAACGCUGGGUUAAGGCACCCGAUGCCAGACGCUCAUCAGAUCCCAUGAAAGGUGUUGGUUGCUAUAGACAGCAGGACGGUGGCCAUGGAAGUCGGAAUCCGCUAAGGAGUGUGUAACAACUCACCUGCCGAAGCAACUAGCCCUGAAAAUGGAUGGCGCUGUAGCGUCGAGCCCAUACCCGGCCGCCCCGGCUGGGCACGGAAGCUUAGGCCGGGGUGAGUAGGAGGUGUCGCAGCGGCGUGCGUUGAAGGUGCCGGGCGUGGGCCCGCCUGGAGCCGCCGCUGGUGCAGAUCUUGGUGGUAGUAGCAAAUACUCAAGUGAGAACCUUGAGGACUGAGGUGGAGAAGGCUUCCAUGUGAACAGCAGUUGAACAUGGGUCAGUCGGUCCUAAGGGAUAGGAGAAAUCCGUUCCGAAGCGGGACCUGCGUGCACCGUGAGGUCCCGUGGUCGACCGAAAGGGAAUCGGGUUAAUAUUCCCGAACUCGGACGCGGAGAUCGGCCCCUCGGGGUCAACUGCGGUAACGCAACCAAACUCGGAGACGUCGAUCGGGGUCCCGGGAAGAGUUGUCUUUUCUUUGUAAGGGAUCGGCUCCCUGGAAUCGGCUCGCCCGGAGAUAGGGAUGCUGUUCCCGUAAAGCACCGCGGCUCUUGCGGUGUCCGGAGCGCUCCGGUCGGCCCGUGAAAACCCGAGGAGAGUGUGAUUUUCGUGCCGGACCGUACCCAUAUCCGCAGCAGGUCUCAAAGGUGAACAGCCUCUAGUCGAUGG